UGCUUCAACAAUUUCUGCUGCUCGCGCUCGGGUCGUCGUCGCUCGUCGGUUCUGAGGCUGUCGCCGUGUCUUGGUCGCGCCGUCGUUCGUUGAUUUGGUGGAAAACCUCGCGAGGAGGCUGCGAAAAAAACGCACAAAAAUUAAAUGAAAACUUCCGUACGGGAUUGCGGUGCAGUGAGGAAAGCGUUGCGCAAUUCGCGAGCCAGUGAAAUUCACGUGCAAAGUGACUCGGGUCGGGACCGUGGGUGCAGUGGAAUUGCGUGAAAAGUGCGUGUGGAAAGUGUGGCCGGACGUGAGCUGCGUGAAGGAAGUCCAAUUGGCCGAGGAGCGGAGGAUCGCCAGACGUGGACCGUUGCCGUAAAUGCUAGAAGCGUAGGAGAGAUAAUAACUUGCGGCAAAUUUCGAGACGGCGCCAUAUCACUAACAAAUGUCUGAUGAGGCAUCGACGGGACGUCUCUCGCAAAUAUUCGAUUCGUUAUCAUGUCUGAGUGAUCUGGAAAAGCAACAACAGUCACCGCAGCAGCCGCAGCAACAGCAAAACCAAUAUCUCCACCAUCAUCAUCAUUCGCGGUGCUCAACAUCGCCGUCACCGUCACAAAAUCAAUUUCAAUAUUCGAAACAGUUUCAAUCACCUUCGGAUCCUAGUCAUAACUAUGUCACAGGCACGAGCAGCAGGACUCAAACCCUAUCAUCGACAUCGUCGCAAAAUCACUCUCUGACUUCAUCAUCGUCGACGUCGUCAUCACCCUCUUUGCCAAAACGUUCACACUCGUCAGGUAGUAGUUGCAAUCUAGGCGGUGCGAGUGGCGGAAUUGGGAUAUCGACCGCAUGCAGUUCUCCCAUUCCGCCGUCGCCAGCCUCACGCAUAUCUACCGCAGGAACAUCACAAUCAACACCAAAUAGUCCACGCCUUAUGCCAAGGCGCGUGCAUCGGGCUCCACCGAUUCCAGCCCGUCCGAAUGCCGCUUUGAUUGCAAAUCCCGCACUCGCCGCUUUAGAUACCAAUGCUCCUUGGCCGCAUUUUUCGUCAUUAACGGAACAUUUGGAUGUUCAUCAGGUGAAUAACUACACGCAAGCAUUACCGGAGAUCAACUGGCAGGAGCGAUGUCUUGAGCUUCAAUUAGAGCUUCAUCGAUCGAAAAACCAGGCAGGACGAAUACGUGAUAUGCUUCGCGAAAAGCUCUCCGAAUUGGAACAAAGGGUCAUAGAAGCAGAGGAGAGAGCAGAAGAAGCCGAGGACAAGGUCCGGGCAAUGGAACAACGACUAAGUGAAUGGCCAAAAACGAAUACAUCAGGAUCACCAAAUCAUCAGUCACAAAAUACUGCUAGCAUUUCGAACGAUGCCGAGAAAACCAUAACAAAUCUGGAAAUUCAAGUCGAAGAGCAAAAGCAAUUACGCCUACAAGACGCGAAACAAGUGGAAGCGAAAGCUGCCAAAAUCAAGGAGUGGGUCACAAACAAGCUUCGUGAACUGGAAGAACAAAAUCAAGUGUUGCGCGAACAGAAUGUAAAGUGCAACCAACAACUCGAAAUAUUGCGCAAUCAUAUAGCCAGUAGUACCUCUGCACGACACAGUAGCAUUCAACAACCAGUUCGUUCUAGUCUAAGCUUAGAAGUACAAGAAUUUGGCGACAGUCCUGGAAAUCGGCGGCGCAGCGAAUCUUUAGAACCGCCUGAGAACCGGACGUUAGCUAAAAACUACCCAUUGCACCAACACCGACGCAAUCUCUCCAUGGAGCCGCAGGAGCUGGCGCGCGAUCUAGCGGAAGCGGUAGAUGGGCUCAGUAUCAUUCCUAUCCCUCGGGCACCUAGCCCCAACAAUUCAGAAACGGAUACACUUCAUGAUUAUGCAGAGAUUUACACUCCUUCCAGAGAGAAGCUUCCGCCGUGGAUGAAGAAUAACCCCCAGUUUCUACCAAGCGGUGGGAAUUCGAGUACAACAACAACCACUACAACCAGUGACCUUGUAGGUGAUGCCACAGCAGCAACCGCAGCUCGGCCUCCUACGCCACCGCUUCACAGGUUCCCAAGUUGGGAAGCAAAAAUCUACCAAGUAGCGAACGAUGGUCUUGCAGCGGGAGAAGAUGCCGAUGGUCAAGAAUCUACAACGGCCAGUGCGGGAGGAGUAGGCGGAGGCGCAACAGUUCCUGGAAGUAAUGCAAACAACCGGGGAGCACAAACUGCUAGUGGCGGGUUUUGUGAUAUUAGUGUACCCGUCUAUGCCACUGUAAAAGGGCGUGCUUCUCAAAUACGUUCCAUGCCAUUCACCGGUGAUUCAAGCGAUGAUUCCAGCGACGGUGAGGAGCAUGCUGUGAUGAUGACACACAAUUCGCACAACUCUUCAAGUACGGAUAACACUGAAACAAGUACAUCCGGUAGUGCUUCCAGUCCAUCCAAAAGUCUAAAGACAUCAUCUAGUCUAAGUCCGGCAAAGCGUAGUGGUUCGGAAAGUCCUAAAAAUAAGACUAGAGUAAUUUCAGAUACUUCAUUUGAAUCAGGCAUGUCUGACGAUUAUGCGAUACCACCAGAUGCUGUCUCCGAGUCAACCUGCAUGGACGCCUCAAUGCCGUCACUCUUGAUGCGAGCCUCGUACGCCGAUUCGCCCAAUAAGAAGUUGGAAUCUCUAGAGAAGGUCGGACAUUUAGCGAAACUGGGCGGUAAACUGAAAACUUGGCGGAAACGUUGGUUCGUCUUGAAGAACGGCACUCUCACCUAUUGGAAGAGCCAGCAUGACGUGAAUCGGAAACCACAAGGGCAGAUCAUGUUGGAUGAAGCUUGUCGGAUUAAUCGUGCCGAUGGUGCAUCUACUUUUGAAAUUGAUACAGGGAAGAAAACGUACUAUUUGACGGCUGAUUCUAUUGCAACAAUGGAGGAUUGGAUCAGGGUCUUGCAAAAUGUCCAACGUCGUAAUGCAACCAAACUUCUUCUAAGUAGAGAGGAUCAGAAACCAACUGUACAAGGUUGGGUGACUAAAGUGAAAAACGGUCACGCCAAAAAAUGUUGGUGUGUACUACUUGGUAAAAUGUUCCUGUACUUUAAGGCUCCUGGAGAGACGAACCCAUUGGGACAAAUUAAUAUGCGUGACGCACGUGUCGAAGAAGUAGAACAUGUUUCUGAUUCAGAUUCCGAAGAACGUGAAGAUCCAGCACAAAGUCAGGCUCGACUGACGGUUGCAAUUUAUCCCGCCCAUCAAGGUCCCACAUAUUUAAUUCUACCCGGCAAACAAGAACGUGAUAACUGGCUAUAUCAUUUGACAGUAGUGUCAGGCGGCGGACCGAAUGCUGGUACUCAGUACGAGCAAUUAGUUCAAAAGCUAAUGGAAACUGAUGGAGAUCCGAAUUGUGUAUUAUGGCGUCAUCCUAUCCUUCUACAUACAAAAGACACAAUCACAUCACCUCUAUCUUCACUACAUUCUGAAUUGUUGCAAUCGGAAGCCAUUAAACUAUUCAAGUGUUGUCAACUUUUCAUGUCGGUAGCAGUGAAUCAACCAGGAAUCGAUUAUCAUGUCGUUUUGGCACAAAAUGCUCUUCAACAAUGCUUAGAUAUGCCUGAAUUACAAACUGAACUGAUUUGUGCAUUGAUCAAGCAAACAUCACGACACACCGGACAGAAAUUAGGUGUUGGGGUCCAGGUAAACAAGAAACUGGGCAAGCAAACGCGCCAACUGCUAUUGUGUGCGACCCAGAGCCUAUUCACUUGUGAUACGCAGCAAGGGGGUGCAGCACAGGCAAACGGAAGCUCCCCAACAUCCAUUCAGUAUACAUUUCAGGCUCCACCCUCUGCACCCAUAAUCGAUUGUAAAUCGAAUCCACCUGCUUACACGUUUGUACAAGGAUGGCAGCUACUAUCGUUGGCCGUUUCGCUUUUUGUUCCUAAAAAUAAUCGUCUUCUGUGGUACUUAAAACUGCAUCUGUCCCGAAAUGCCGAUAGUAAAUCCGAAACUGGCAAAUAUGCAGCGUACUGUGAACGUGCCUUGGAACGGACCAUACAAAAUGGUGGACGUGAAACGAAACCGUCGCGUAUGGAAGUUCUGUCGAUUCUCUUGAAGAAUCCCUAUCAUCAUUCGUUACCUCAUGCGAUUCCAGUUCAUAUGAUGAACGGAGCGUAUCAAGUCAUAUCUUUUGACGGCUCAUCAACAAUAGAAGAAUUUCAGACUACACUCUCCCAAGAGAUCGGUUGCCGCGACGCCGCCAAUGGAUUUUGCCUCUUCAGCGAUGACCCCAUUGAAAAGGAUCUGGAGCAUUAUCUUGAUCCUCAAGCAAAACUGUGUGAUGUAAUCUCAAAGUGGGAAACGGCUCUACGAGAAAAGGGCUCCGGAAAAUUUGAAAACUCGCGAGUUAUUCAACUGACAUACAAGAAUCGGCUAUAUUGGAAGCAUUCUACGAAAUUCGAAACUGACAAGGAGAAAUUGCUUCUUUGCUACCAAACCAAUCAACAAAUCGUACAAGGACGAUUCCCGCUAUCUAGAGAACUGGCUCUAGAACUAUCCUCAUUAAUGUCACAAAUUGAUAUGGGUGAUUACUCGCCAGAAAAAUCUAGAGGUUCAGGCAAUAUGAACGCAUCACUUCAAGCACUGGAUAAAUUUUAUCCGUAUCGGUACAGAGACGCACUGACUCCAGAACAGUUGAAAGAUAUUCAAGAACUAUUGAUAUCCAAAUGGAUUUUAUUGAAAGGACGCUCAACGUUGGACUGUGUGCGAAUAUAUUUAACUUGUUGUCGAAAAUGGCCAUUCUUCGGUGCAGCUUUGUUCCAAGCGAAACCCCGACAUUCCGAUCAGGCGAUGGCAUGGCUGGCAGUAUCUGAAGAUGCAUUAAACGUCCUAGAAUUAUCUUCAAUGGCCCCUAUUGCCCGUUAUCCUUACACUUCUGUUAUGACUUUCGGUGGGUGCCAAGAUGACUUCAUGUUAGUCGUGGGUUCCGAAGACACAUUAGCAACCGGAAGUAAUGAACAGAAGUUACUUUUCGCAAUGAGCAAACCAAAGAUCCUAGAAAUCACCUUGCUUAUAGCUGACUACAUGAACGCGCUGGGCCAUACAUUGCCCGGAACACCUCAAAUGAAUACGCUGACGCGCAAUGGUUCCCACCGAAGUAUACGAUCGCGACCAACUCAUGGUGGAGGUGGGGCAUCAACAAACGCCACUACAACUGCCCACAACACCCUGAACUCUCAUGCCACUCAUACGCUGAACUCUCAGCAUUCACACACUUUGAAUUCAUCCCACUAUAGUGGAGGUAGUCACCAGAACACAAUGAGUUCGUCCCAUGGCGGUCAACCUGACAUAUUGAAGAGUACACCAGAUCACCAGAGGCUGAAGUGAUCCGGCCGAGGGGCUGACUAGCAUGGCGUUAUACGAGUGAAAUUUACAAAUUUAUAGUGAACGGAAACAAUAGCAAACAAGCAGGUAACACGAUAAUGCGACGACGUUCGAUGACGAUACUGUGAUUGUAUGAUCUUGUAGACGAGGGAUGAGAAACUUAUAUUACAACAAUUGUAAGUGUAAGCUUUCAACGACGAUACAAUGACUCAAGUAUAAAUCCUUAAAUAAGUACGAAAUCGAUUUUAUAGCAAGUAAGGAAGAGACAUGAGAACACAUUUGUAAAUACUUACAUGCAUAACUGAUACAAUUUAUGGGGGUCAUAUCGUUUCUUAGUUUUAUAAAUUGACAUAAGGCAGAAGUUUUUGUGCUUCUUAGGUUUCAUUUAUUUGUUAGAGCAAAUAGAACAUAGAAGGGAAGCUAGUCGCGAUAUACUCGUAUAUUUUAUUAAAGCUACUAAAUACUUUAUAACAUUAAGCUACGAGCUAUUUUGUUUUACAAGACCUUUAAAUUAGUUCAAAUAAUCUAAUGUUUUCUGUGUGUCUACGCAUCAUGCUCAGAACUUCUUGUUGCCAGAUCCGAAGACGAUCCGAAAACAUUCUUUGUUCUAGUCGUUUUAAUGAGUGUUUAUUAUUUAAUGAACACGUUGAUUUGGAACGGUGUCUACGCUUGGGGGAAUAACCGGAAAAAAUAUACACCAAAUAGGGUUGGUAGUAGAAGUCACGCUUUAUCGGAAGUGGCACGACAGUAAAGUGGGUAACACGCAGAUAAUAAAGGGACUGUUUUCCCAACACUUCAAUUCAAGACAAACGGAAAGGUAGAAAAGAAUAAAACUUGAUUAACUUUAUAGUCUUUGGAAAUUCUGAAAAGUUUGAGACAUUGGAAAUCUUUUGGCCCCAAUAUAGCCUUACUCAUUUUCCCCAAUUCAAAUCAAUGUCUCUAGGUUUACUGCGUGCUUCUUUGAUUGGCAAGAAAUGACUCCUCCGUUCCAGGUGAACACAUAUUCCAUAAAUGAUCCCUUGUCUCUCUGUCCCAAUAAGCAUCUACGAAGCCAGUAAGUAUAAUUUGCUGAGUGCUGAAAACGGUGCCAAUCCUUCCAUCUCCGCUCAGGUGCUUUCCAGUGACUCUUAUGUUAUUGAACUUAAUCAAUGUUUUAGCUGCGUUUGAUAUAACCGCGUCGUGAGAGAGAGAGGUGUCAAUCCUCUUUUAACUUUUCCGCAGGGAGAUUCUAUUUCAUUUGGUUUGGACAAAUUCGUGUUUCUCUCAUGCUUUUUCACUGAAGUUGUGGAAGCUUUGUUUUCACGAAUGAUACCCCCUGAUAUCAUAAUAUGUGACAUUAAAUCGAUGGAUAAACACUUUUCAAUGUGCAACAAAUACAAUAGCAAAUCCAGUAAACUACAGACGAGAACAGGUGCGUAACUCUCAUUAAAAGUUAUUCCUGGUAGCUGGUCGAUAUACAAUAUACCCAAUAUCAUUGUUCAGGAUGGAUGUUAUUUCGAUAUAUUGCAUUGCUGCAAUUUCUCUCCCAAGAUGCUUCAAAGGAAUACCGUGCGCUCUUCCUGGCUGCGUUUUUUUCCCGGAAGCCGAGCGAAAGAGACCCUCUUCACCGUGCACCCGACGUUGAGGCUAUAAUGGUGUAUGCCUGGCUUGAAGACAUCGAAGGGGCGCUUGUAAGGUGGCUAUUGCGGCUUCCAAAAGGCGGUCGUCUUAAUUAGGACAUGCAUGCAAGAUUCAAGCCCAAGGAUCAUCUAGGGCCAUUAUACUGGCUUUCAGCGUCCUGUGCCAUCUUUCAAGCAUCCCAUUGAACUGCGGUUGGUACACGGUUGUCCGGUGGCGUUUGAAGCCAUGGAGUUUGCCCAUCUCUGAGAAAUGGGAGGACUCAAACUACAUUCCCUGGGUUGCGAUUAUAAUUUCCGGCACACAAAAGCGUGGAAUCCAUUCUUGACAAAGGGCCUCAGCACAAAGUUGUGCAGCAAUGUCUUUCAGUGAGAUCGUCUCAGAUUACCGCGUGAACUGAGAAACCGUUUGCGUCUCGAAGGCACCAAUGAUGUCGAGGUGGAUUGUGUGGAAACGCUUGGAGGACGAGGGAACACGCCAACAUAACUUGCGAAUGAUGUUCGAUAACUUGUUUGAUUGAAAACUUCUGCCAGAAUUCCUGAAAUACCGGCUACGUCAACGAUCCUCUUCACUGGGCAUCUUUCUCUUUUUAUUAUCAAAACUGGAGUAAAUUUUAUUCAAACUGAAUUCUACUGUCGGUUGUCUGAGAAGUGAGGCCGCUUGUAUCAUCAGCUGGAAGAAGCGUUGAAGUGAAACGAAAAUUCAAAAUACUCCGCAGGAAGUUCUGAGACGCAAGAUUCGUUUGGGAUCCGGGCGACCUCUCGGGUGAGUCUAAAUACUUAUGGUUGCAAUAAAUAUAGUGGCUAAGGCAGAAACGAGAACUUUUUUGACGGCGACAGUAACCUGUGGCACACAAAAUCUGAGUUGAUACAAUCUUUUCGUCGCGCUUGAGACUCCGCUUCAUGUGCACCCGUCAAUUUACACUUGGUUUCACCAAUUCUUACUUAUGUUAAUAUUUUAUUUUUUAUAUUCAAUUAACAAUCACUGUUUCUUUAACUGCUUAAAUUAUUUUGAGCUUUUUAAAGUUUAAUUACAAUAAUAAGCUGGGUACGGAUCUCCACCCCUCCAACUGUUGACCACCACUCCUCUGAAUCUUUUUUGCACUGACAUCGAAAACCAAUCAAACGUCAAAAAUUGUUUUUCGUUGUCAUGGACAACGCGGUUCGCAGUUGCGUUCGUUCGACAAGCCUGCUUGCGCCGCCACAGUUGAUAACAAACCGUCAAUGUUUAAUGUUUAUCUUGGAAAUGAUUACAAUGAGCACCUUCAAGCGAUUGGACCUACAAGCUACGCCAAAGUCGCUUGCAACUUAAUUCCAAGUCCGGAGAGAUCUUUUUAACGGUUAGAUUUUCUUUUCUCGUUCCGUGGUAUGAGGUCGAUUUUGUUCCUAAAUACUGAUUGACAUUCGAUAACCCAGUCUGUCCUCAGGGGUGGUCAGUUCCGGGUGUGGCCUUUGGUGAUAUUUUGGUCGCAACCGACUUCGUCUUGUUCUUAAAUUUUACUUCCUUUUAAGUAUUAAAUCCGAAAUACUCUAAAAAGAUUUUCUUCAGAAGCUUUAUGAGCUACAUCGCCGAUGAGGUGAUGUUCCAAUCUCUACAGGUGGUUAGGACUUGGUCCUUUUCUCACGGUGCUUUCGCUAUGACGUUAUCUCGCCCAAGCUGUGGUGCAACAUGUAUCACUGAUUCAAUGAGAAUGCUUCAGUAUUCCAAAUUUGGGGAGCAUUCAUUAAAAUGUGAACCGUUUAAAAAUCCAUAUGUCAUUUAGUAUGUUUGUAUGUUUGCGAAAUACCACAUUUUAUACUGGUGGUCGAAACGAUUGAUCUUGAUCCUCAUCUCACUGAAAAUUGUACGAAGAAUUCUAUGAGUCUAGGGGGUGAUUCAUAUAUUUGCCUUUGGCGGUUUAACUGCAAGUGAAAUACUCAUUUUUUUCCAAUUUUUGCUUGAAAUCUUGAACAAUUUCGUUUUUUUUUUUUUUUUUUGUAAUGUGGUGCUGAAAUGAAUGCUAGAGGCUUCAAGUCUAUCCAAUUGCUGGUCUCUACUGAUGAUAUCCACACAGUGGGAAGAACACGGGAAGUACAGACUGUCUUCGUUCAGGUGGAGCAAGCGGUGCAAGAUCUUGGGUUUGGACUUGGUUCAUGGUAUGAGCAACACAAUCCAAUAGUACUAGCGAAUUGGAAAAAAGGGAAAAUAUAGGAGACGAGAGUUUGAAUUAUUCCGAACCUGCUAUUCUCAUAUCUUCUUGUCAAAUAAAGUUACAAGCUGUUAGCCGCAUUCGAGAGGAGAAUAUAUGAAGAAGUCUAUGAGCGAUAUCCCGAUAAAGUAUGGCUCAGUAGCAAAUGGCAAAAAAUAGAAAUACUUCCGGUCUUGGCUAAUUUUUUUCAAUUCAUAUUUAAUAAAAUGGUAUUUCGAGAACCAUCGAGUGAAAGGUCAGUAUUAGUCCCUGAAAAACCAUUUUUGUAAAAUAUUUGUAAAAAAUGUUAGCCAAGAACUGAACUUUCUUCCAAUUUUUUCAAUUUGUUGAACAUUGACUAAUCUAAAUACUUCAAAUUUUGGUAUCUGUCAUCUUUCCCGAAAGAUCAUAGUUCAGUCAUUCAAUCGUAGUCAUAGCUACAGAGAGCGCUGAUUUGCUUCAUUGGAAUGUUCACGUUAAAGGAGCCUUUUUUCGCCUUGCCGCGAUUUCCGCCGCCUUGGGAGUGCGACAUUGGUAGAAAUUCAAUAUACCGAGAAAACGAUAAAGCUCGGGAACAAUUCGGACUACGGGUAACUUUGUCAAGUGGUUGAGGCUAUUUAACGCCAUCCAGGUAAGAUCUAUUAAAUGGACAGUUGCGCAGAAGAUAGUACAUUCAGCGUUGGAGAGAGAGAGUCGUGUUAUUUUAGCCCAUCGAUGAACGAGUAAAUUCGAAGAGUUUGAAUGAGGUGGCGACCGCCGCUUUUAGGAUGUUGCUCUCGGCGAUUGCAAUCGGGCAGAAUGCUUUACGAAAACGAACAACCGAGAAUACUUCGUCGCUGAUCUCUUGAUAGGAGGUCUUCAACGAUUGGAAGUGGGUUUUGAUCCAAGGUAAUACAGACGUUUGGGGGUCUCUCAUUCCGCAUAACUCGCGAUGCACCAUCUGCCUUCAUAACGGUGUACACUAGGGUGGUCCACUGGUUGAAUGAGAGGGGGACGUUGCCCCAGGUUGAGCGAACCAAAAAUGUGGAUAGGUGAGGCAUUGGCUACACAAACCAUAAGAAGCUGACCCUGACUGCCUUCAUUGAUUUGAAAAUCUCGGAAGAAGGGAAAUAAUAGAUCCCAAAUCGAAAUUUUUGGGCGUAGUGCGAUCGAAAAUGUACCAGUGAUUUUCCCCGGGAAGAGCAGUGUUAACUUCUGCCACCUGAGAGGUGGUCAGUAUUUUUCCGGAAGAACUGGACUUCUUACGAAUUUUUUUAGGAACACAGAUUCUCCUUGUGUUUCAUACGACGAUGUUUGUUUACGAGACAUCUUUUAUUUCACAAAUUUGACAUACAAACAAUGUCUUUUGCUUGGAGGGAGAAGGAAGGAACGUGUGUUACUGCUAUGUCGGGAGGUGAUAGUGUUGAUUGAGAAAACUGGACACGGCUUAAGCUGCAACUAAAAACAUGACUAGUUUUAGCUGGAUGCUUUCAGUCAUUAAAGUGAUUGGCUUGGCAAUGUCUCGUCUUAAGUAGCCAGCGAGUUAAUGGAGCUGUUGUAUUUCUUUGCUUCUAAUAUUUUCGAUAAUUUAUUCAAACGUAGAAAAAUAUGGCCCCCAUAAACGAUAACAUACCCAAAACCAGCGUCUACUUUGGCAACUACUUUUGCGUUAGACUUAGACAAAAAUUGAUACGAAAUCGAAGUUAAACAAGAACACACGAGCUCUUAUAAACCCAAAUGUUUGGGGCGACAAGAAGGUGAAAACCAGUUACAUUCUUUAGGCUGUAAGCAACUUUUAUACGAAUUCAGAAGGAAUAUUAUAUACUAAACACCCUUAUACACAAUGAAUAACGCUACUCUAUCGAAUAUAACUAUUUGUAUUAGUAAGUGUACGACUUGACAUAAAUCAUGAAGUAUUUAAUUAAAGCUAUUGUAUUUAGUGACUGUGUAAUCAUUACUACUUUUAGAUAAUGUUUUACUCCCGUGCGAACCUUUAUAUAUAUGUUGAUAUAGAACCAAUGAAAUCAUUGACUACAGUAGUAAAAAUGUUGAGGGAAAUGCAAAGUUUAGCGGAUAGAGUGACAUUAUAUAAAAUAUUGCAAGCAAUUAGGCAGCAACACCAUUAACGAGUGAAAUAUUAUCAGUAGGGUGAUUACUGACUAGAAACGUGGAGAACACCGAAGCCUCGAUUAUCGGACAGGCCGCUGUAAAUUAUGACAGGUGAACGGUUCUAGCUUACGUUCGGGCAAGCAGCAAUGAGACCAAAUUUAUGUGUUGACGUGUGAGUUAUUAGUUUAACCCAAAUCUAAGUUAAUGUAAUUGCUUAGGCAGAAAAGUACCAAAGAAUAUCCAAAUUAGCAGAUAUACGUGUGUCUAUCCGAAAGUUCUCUGUCCCUUGUGACCGUCUAAAAUUUGCUCAACGCUAGCUUUCAUAGUACACCUUAAUUUAAAAUGAAUAGUGGAGUCUCUGGGUUGCGGCAAGCUAUGGACCGCACUUACGAACGUCUAAUUUUGUCCAGUUCAAUCCCAUCCCCCACUCCAAACCUAUAACACUUCGACAUGCUCCUAUGCAUGAAUGAGUAGUUUUCCCGCAAAUGAGCUCGAAUGUAAUCUAGUUCUGUGUGAUUGAUUAAGCAAUUAAAUUAACACUUAUCCUAGUUACCAAUUCGGAAAAACUGCUGCUUUUAAUAUAUGUAAAAAUAAUUGAAAGAAAUAUAUAUAGACAUAUAUACUUAUUUAUAGACAUUUCAAAUCGUUUCAUGAAUAUAUACAUAUACUUUCCAUGAUUCAAUAUUAACUUCUUCGAUAGGUUUAAUUUUUUAGGCUCUUUUCUGUAAUUUUUUAUAGUUUUAUUUCGAUAUUAUUAAGCAGGAAUGUAAUUCUGAUAUUGAACUGCGAAAUGCAGAGCAUAGGAAAAAAGAUAUAUUGUACAUAAUGUGAACUUUUCAACAAGGAAAUCAUGUCCAUUUUCAUUUCUUUUUGAUGGACCAUCCGGAAAGAAUGAUAAUAAUGAAAUGGUUUAACUCUUUAGUUUUAGAUAUUUACCUUCAUUUACAACACAUCUUCAAUAAUGAUUGUAUAUUUCCAGAAAACACAAAAGAUAUUAUAAUGUAAUGAAAGAUAA
rnacentral:misc_RNA from 1 species